rnacentral:rRNA from 1 species
CAGUAGCCGCGGUAAUACGAAGGGGGCUAGCGUUGCUCGGAAUGACUGGGCGUAAAGGGCGCGUAGGCGGCGGCCAAAGUCAGGCGUGAAAUUCCUGGGCUCAACCUGGGGGCUGCGUUUGAUACUUGGUUGCUUGAGUGGGGAAGAGGGUCGUGGAAUUCCCAGUGUAGAGGUGAAAUUCGUAGAUAUUGGGAAGAACACCGGUGGCGAAGGCGGCGACCUGGUCCUUUACUGACGCUGAGGCGCGAAAGCGUGGGGAGCAAACAGGAUUAGAGACCCCGGUAGUCCCUGUCUCUUAUAC